rnacentral:rRNA from 1 species
UUUGAAGGGUUUGAUUCUGGCUCAGAACGAACGUUGGCGGCGUGGAUUAGGCAUGCAAGUUGAGCGAAUCCCCGCAAGGGGGGAAGCAGCGUAAGGGGCAGUAAUGCGUGGGGAUUUACCCCGGGGUCUGGCAUAGCCCUUCGAAAGAAGGGGUAAUUCCAGAUGACGUCGUGAGACCAAAGGUCCGCCGCCCCGGGAGGAGCCCACGUGAUAUUAGGUAGUUGGUGGGGUAACGGCCUACCAAGCCUGAGAUGUCUAGCGGGUGUGAGAGCACGACCCGCGCCACUGGCACUGAGACACUGGCCAGACACCUACGGGUGGCUGCAGUCGAGGAUCUUCGGCAAUGAGCGCAAGCUUGACCGAGCGACGCCGCGUGUGCGACGAAGGCCUUCGGGUUGUAAAGCACUGUCGAGGGGGAGAAAAGGGUUAAACUUUGAUCUAUCCCUGGAGGAAGCACGGGCUAAGUUCGUGCCAGCAGCCGCGGUAAGACGAACCGUGCGAACGUUGUUCGGAAUCACUGGGCUUAAAGGGCGCGUAGGCGGGCUGCCAAGUCUGCGGUGAAAUCCCCCGGCUCAACCGGGGAACGGCCGCGGAUACUGGCGGUCUCGAGGGAGAUAGGGGCAAGCGGAACUGUGCGUGGAGCGGUGAAAUGCGUUGAUAUGCACAGGAACUCCGGUGGCGAAGGCGGCUUGCUGGAUCUCUUCUGACGCUGAGGCGCGAAAGCUAGGGGAGCGAACGGGAUUAGAUACCCCGGUAGUCCUAGCCCUAAACGUUGAGAACUAGGUAGUAGACACGACUUGGGUUUACUGCCGAAGCAAAAGUGCUAAGUUCUCCGCCUGGGGAGUAUGGCCGCAAGGCUGAAACUCAAAGAAAUUGACGGGGGCUCACACAAGCGGUGGAGCAUGUGGCUUAAUUCGAGGCUACGCGAAGAACCUUACCCAGACUUGACAUGUUCGAAAGAGUCAACAAGUAGGACCCGGAAACGGGAACGAACGGUAUCCAACCCGGAAGUUGACACAGGUGCUGCAUGGCUGUCGUCAGCUCGUGUCGUGAGAUGUCGGGUUAAGUCCCUUAACGAGCGAAACCCUUACCAUUAGUUGCCAGCGGGUCGUGCCGGGGACUCUAGUGGGACUGCCGGUGUCAAACCGGAGGAAGGUGGGGAUGACGUCAAGUCCUCAUGGCCUUUAUGUUUGGGGCUGCACACGUGCUACAAUGGCGUGAACAAAGGGACGCGAAGUCGCGAGACCAAGCCAAUCCCAAAAAACACGCCCCAGUUCAGAUCGAAGGCUGCAAUUCGCCUUCGUGAAGUCGGAAUCGCUAGUAAUCGCGGGUCAGCAACACCGCGGUGAAUGUGUUCCUGAGCCUUGUACACACCGCCCGUCAAGCCACGAAAGGGUGGAGCGCCCGAAGCCUACUUUACCGUAGUCGAAGGUGAUACAUCCAAUUGGGACUAAGUCGUAACAAGGUAACCGUAGGGGAACCUGCGGUUGGAUCACCUCCUUU